UACGUAGGUGGCAAGCGUUGUCCGGAUUUAUUGGGUUUAAAGGGUGCGUAGGCGGCUUAUUAAGUCAGUGGUGAAAUACUCUAGCUCAACUAGAGGGGUGCCAUUGAUACUGAUGAGCUUGAGUACAGAUGAGGUAGGCGGAAUUGACGGUGUAGCGGUGAAAUGCUUAGAUAUCGUCAAGAACACCUAUAGCGAAGGCAGCUUACUAGGCUGUAACUGACGCUGAGGCACGAAAGUGUGGGGACCAAACAGG
rnacentral:rRNA from 1 species